rnacentral:lncRNA from 1 species
GGGGGAGAGAACAGACGGAUAGACUCUAAUCAAAAGUGCCGCUGACAUCAAAACAUCCCAUCGCUGAAAUCCCAUUUUCUUCGACCCCUCCUCCACGCUUCUUCUUCUUCAUCACCAUUAGAGACCCCUAGACAGAGAAGCUAAAGUAGACUUCCGCCGCAAUACACCCAAACACCUUUCCCCAUCGCCGGUCUUCUUCUUAACCAUCUGAACUUACACACACCCACAAAACCAAGGCUAAAAAUGAAAUAGAAACAGGGAGCAAGAGUGCACUUAGAAUUUAGUUAGAUUUUUUGCUUUUCCAUGUUUCAUCGUUUUCUGGGAUUCCAUUGGUAUUUCAAGGUGUAAAGGAGAUGUGUAAAUCAAAGGCUAUAUCUAACAAUAACAGUUUGUUAUAGAGGUCAUUUGAGUUUCGAAGCUUUUGUUCCUUCUGAUUUCAAUGGAGAUGAGUUAAAUUCUGCCCGUGGCGGAGUUUGUUUGAGUGUUCAUCGUCGAUCGGGGUUCGUUCGCGGCUGUUAAUUUCUGUUUCUUGGAAACGAUUUGCAUUGGAUUUUCACUGCCGGAUUCUUUUGUAAUUUGCCGAAGAAUUAAUUGAAAGUUUUGACAGGUUUAUCUUCUACUCUUCCUUAUUUUAUUAAUGGAAGAUGUUUGUGAGCUAGUUUAUAUACUAAUCUGUGAUGCCGAUUUCUCGUGAAUUUUACUGAAUUUUCAUUUGUUUGGUGUGUUUGACUGAAGCUCGUCCAGUUAUGAUAUUGAAAAGAGUAAACUGUGCCCAAGAGUUGAAUAGUUCUAACUUAUCCGAAAGGAAGAUUAUAAAGAUCUGAAUAAUUCCUUAUGGAAACGAUAAUGGUGUUUAGACUCAAUUGAAUGAGUUAUGCAUAUGUGAACGUUCUAUUAGCUGAGCAAUUUAGCCUAUAUAGACUACAAUCUAGUUUUCUCCUUAUGUUGUUAGCCUUUUUCUUUGCUCUUUAUCUUAUUAUGGUGUUGAUCGAAAUACAAUGAUGUUGAGAUUUUGUUAGAUUGGAAAUGUUUAAGAGCGGGUUAUGUGGUACCCAUAUGUGAUGCAAUUUUUAUCGUGAAUUCUGUUGUUUUUCAUUGAUUUUGGCAUAUCUUCUUUGUUCAAUUAGGUCUGUGUGCUACUGAUUCUUUCGUUGUGUUUUCCUUAUUUAAUUAUGUUGUCGAGUUGUUACUUGUAUUUGAAGUUGAAUGAAACAGUAGAUGGACGUUUGGUUUUGGUUUGUGCUCAAAGAAAAUUGACUAAUUUCAAACAGCCAUUUUGUUGCCUCAUAUGUAGAAAUUGAUUAGUUCUAUCAAAAUUAGACCCACGGGUACAAAGUUUGAAAGGUCUUGCUGCAUUUUACUGAUCUUCUGAAGGAUAAGUUUUAUUCCAUUGCUAAAUCGUAUGUUAGUACUGAGUGUUGGUGAUAACUGUGAAAUAUGUUAAAGAGAUAGCACAUUAGUAUUUGUGGAAUUCGGUUGUGUUCGAUUAUUAUAGUUGAAUACAAAUCUCUACUUUAAAGAAAUUGAGGCGUGCCAUUCACACAAUUGAAUCACAUAGCCUAUGACCCUCAUAUUAAUUUUACAACUUAGUGUAGAAAGCAAUUUGAGUUCUCGUAGUCUGCUUUAGGCACGUUAAUUAAAUAAAGUGCCACAACUACGAGUAUGGUUCCCGUGACGUAGUUGUGAUACACAAUUCUAAAAUUUGGGGGUACAUUUAUGUGACCCGAUCACAAUUUAAUCUUGUUAAUAAAAUAAACAUGUUGUGGAUCUUGGGUACGGCUCCCGUGACAUGAUUCACGACGUGUAAUCAAAUAAUUAGCUGUAUAACAAUCGGAUUAUUAAAAGCGGUUUUAAAAGGUAUAAAAUGCACAUAGGUUUCAAAGAUAUUUUUAAAAUCAAAUAAAUAGGCAAAUAAUAAUAGUUGAGCGACCAUGCUAGAACCACGGAGCCCGGGAAUGCCUAACACCUUCUCCCGGAUUAACAGAAUUCCUUACCCGGCUUUCUGUGUCCGCGGACUAUAAAACAGAGUCAAUAUUUCCUCGAUUCGGGAUAUAAAAUCGGUGACUUGGGACACCAUAAAUUAUCCCAAGUGGCGACUCUAAAUUUUAAAUAAAACAAUCCUGUUUCGAUUGUCACUUGAAUUGAAAAAAUUCCCUUAUAUCCUUUCGGGGGUAGGAAAAAGGAGGUGUGACAGCUCUGGCGACUCUGCUGGGGAUGAGAACCCAGAACUUCCGGUUCAGGGUUCAAGAAUUCGAGCUUAGAAUAAUUAUUAUAUUUGGCUUUUAUUUAUUAUCUGAUUUUAUUACAUGUGUGGGACUAAUGUGCUAAAUGCAGCUUUUUACCGCUUUGAUAUUAUCUGAACUGUAUAUAAACUACUACGAAACCCAUCUCUUCUCAUCUCCGGGGAUGUGCACGCUGGAAUUACUCCUUUUCUGUUAGUGUCAUACUUUAAAUUAGGAAGAGGCUCGGACAAGUUACAAAGCCGGAUAGCCUUUUGGUUCCCGGUACGUAGGCCCCCCUCAACUCGAGUUGUCCGCUCGGGUGCACAAGUCUAGAACAACAUACCCAAGUUUUGAACUUAGAAUAACUUAGCCUAAUGCCGGAUCCCUAGUAGAAAUGUUUGUUUGCAUCACGUGCAUCUGACUUUGGGGACUCUACACAGGGGUUGGGUCCGUUUAGGACAGGUGUACCCAAAAUAACAAACCAUCUUGAUGCAUCCUAUGUGCUACAUAUUGCAUUUCUUCAAGGGUAAAAGGGUCAUUUGGCGGACAAAUAAUAGUUGAGGGAAAAUAAAAAUAGAAAAAAAGAGAGGGUGUAGUGUGAAAUGUUUCUGUCACAUUAUUGUUAAGAAAAAAGAACUUGAAAAAUUAAAAAAAAAAAGAUUUUGCACUUUUUCAUCAUUUUCUGAAAAUCAAAAAAUAAAAAAAGAAAAGAAAAUCCAAAAAGAGUUAAUAUGUUUCAUCAUAUUUCAAAGCAAAAUAUGUUAUCUCUAAAUUAGUUGUUUUUUUAAUUCUUGCCCCGUAUCCAAUAUGCCCGAACUACGCAUACCUGAUUCUCAUCUUUCGGGGCGUGAUACGUAGGCAACCCACAUAGGGUCCAGUCUUCCUAGUAAAUCUUAGGUUCUUGACUUUGCGGGGUCAUAGCCAAAUUCACUUCUAGCUACUUUUUGGCCAAAUAAGCCAUUUUGCAAAAAUAGCCUCAAUUAUGUCUUGCAUGUGUCCAAUAGGGAGUGUUAUUGUCUCACCUAGUGUUGGUUUGAGUUUUUUUCAUACAGGUGUGGAUCUACUUACCGGGGUUUGAGCAUGACAGACACCCCAUGACCAUCCAGUCAGGAUCGCUCAUUCAGGAGUUGCUUAAGGAGAUUUGUUUUAGUUUUUAUGUUUUGAGUAUGUUCUUCAUUUUAUGUUGUCUUUUACUUUUUAGUUUUGUACAGUAACGUCGAGUCUUUUGUUAUUGUACUUUCUACUUUAUAUUUGAAAAAGUGUGUUGUAACUCAAAAAUCUAAAAAAAAGAAAAAUUG